rnacentral:tRNA from 1 species
AGUUAAUGAGCUUGAAUAAGCAUAUAUUUUGAAAAUAUAAGAUAAGUAAUUUUUACUUAUUAACUU